rnacentral:rRNA from 1 species
UGACGUACUUGUACUGAUUGAGAUUUUAACACGAAGUGAGUGGCGAACGGGUGAGUAACACGUGGGUAACCUGCCCAGAAGUAGGGGAUAACACCUGGAAACAGAUGCUAAUACCGUAUAACAGAGAAAACCGCAUGGUUUUCUUUUAAAAGAUGGCUCUGCUAUCACUUCUGGAUGGACCCGCGGCGUAUUAGCUAGUUGGUGAGGUAAAGGCUCACCAAGGCAGUGAUACGUAGCCGACCUGAGAGGGUAAUCGGCCACAUUGGGACUGAGACACGGCCCAGACUCCUACGGGAGGCAGCAGUAGGGAAUCUUCCACAAUGGACGCAAGUCUGAUGGAGCAACGCCGCGUGAGUGAAGAAGGGUUUCGGCUCGUAAAGCUCUGUUGUUAAAGAAGAACGUGGGUAAGAGUAACUGUUUACCCAGUGACGGUAUUUAACCAGAAAGCCACGGCUAACUACGUGCCAGCAGCCGCGGUAAUACGUAGGUGGCAAGCGUUAUCCGGAUUUAUUGGGCGUAAAGCGAGCGCAGGCGGUCUUUUAAGUCUAAUGUGAAAGCCUUCGGCUCAACCGAAGAAGUGCAUUGGAAACUGGGAGACUUGAGUGCAGAAGAGGACAGUGGAACUCCAUGUGUAGCGGUGAAAUGCGUAGAUAUAUGGAAGAACACCAGUGGCGAAGGCGGCUGUCUGGUCUGCAACUGACGCUGAGGCUCGAAAGCAUGGGUAGCGAACAGGAUUAGAUACCCUGGUAGUCCAUGCCGUAAACGAUGAUUACUAAGUGUUGGAGGGUUUCCGCCCUUCAGUGCUGCAGCUAACGCAUUAAGUAAUCCGCCUGGGGAGUACGACCGCAAGGUUGAAACUCAAAAGAAUUGACGGGGGCCCGCACAAGCGGUGGAGCAUGUGGUUUAAUUCGAAGCUACGCGAAGAACCUUACCAGGUCUUGACAUCUUCUGACAGUCUAAGAGAUUAGAGGUUCCCUUCGGGGACAGAAUGACAGGUGGUGCAUGGUUGUCGUCAGCUCGUGUCGUGAGAUGUUGGGUUAAGUCCCGCAACGAGCGCAACCCUUAUUACUAGUUGCCAGCAUUAAGUUGGGCACUCUAGUGAGACUGCCGGUGACAAACCGGAGGAAGGUGGGGACGACGUCAAAUCAUCAUGCCCCUUAUGACCUGGGCUACACACGUGCUACAAUGGAUGGUACAACGAGUCGCGAGACCGCGAGGUUAAGCUAAUCUCUUAAAACCAUUCUCAGUUCGGACUGUAGGCUGCAACUCGCCUACACGAAGUCGGAAUCGCUAGUAAUCGCGGAUCAGCAUGCCGCGGUGAAUACGUUCCCGGGCCUUGUACACACCGCCCG